rnacentral:misc_RNA from 1 species
GUUGGAGCCGGCUUGCUGGCGAUGAACGAUAACGCGGACUGCCUGAUUCACCGCGGCGUUUGAAUCGCCAGCAAGCCGGCUCCUAC